UUUACGGCUCCACCAAGGCUGGCCCCGAGAUUUGCGCACAAUGAGCGGCUGAGGAUGGAAGGGCUGCAAGAUCCACCGCCUUACUUAGCUGGGACCCGGCCCCACCUCCUCUACAGCCGACCCUGUCUCCACCCGUGCGGCUGAUUCAGGCACACCGGCUCUCGUCGCCUUGGUGGCCCUCCCCAGCCCUCCUCCGCGCCUGCUCCGGGUGGCGCUCCGCUGGGCUCCUCGUGCGCCUGUCCGCGACCGCACCCACCUCAUCCUGGCACCCCCAUCGUGGCAUCACGUGUUCCCUCAUCUGUCCUCAUGGCUGGCGUGCCCCUCUGCGGUGAGACCUGCAGAACAGGAAUUGGUGCCGGGUCAGCAGCCGGCGAUGAAGCCGGACGAAGCCUGCAAACCCCACCCAUACGCCAGCUUCACAUAGCUCCUCUCCAUUGCACAGCAGCGUGGGGAAGCACCGUUCUCUACCCUCCAAGUAAGAAGCUGACUGUUGGGGCACAGGGGAGAUCCUAUAGCAUGGCUCUGCUUCUGGGCACGCGCAGAAACAUUCCCAAAUGAAUUUUUUUGUUGUUGUU